AUUGAACGCUGGCGGCAUGCCUUACACAUGCAAGUCGAACGGCAGCACGGGUGCUUGCACCUGGUGGCGAGUGGCGAACGGGUGAGUAAUACAUCGGCACAUGUCCUGUAGUGGGGGAUAGCCCGGCGAAAGCCGGAUUAAUACCGCAUACGAUCUACGGAUGAAAGCGGGGGCCCUUCGGGCCUCGCGCUAUAGGGUUGGCCGAUGGCUGAUUAGCUAGUUGGUGGGGUAAAGGCAUACCAAGGCGACGAUCAGUAGCUGGUCUGAGAGGACGACCAGCCACACUGGGACUGAGACACGGCCCAGGCUCCUACGGGAGGCAGCAGUGGGGAAUUUUGGACAAUGGGCGAAAGCCUGAUCCAGCAAUGCCGCGUGUGUGAAGAAGGCCUUCGGGUUGUAAAGCACUUUUGUCCGGAAAGAAAUCCUUGGCCCUAAUACGGUCGGGGGAUGACGGUACCGGAAGAAUAAGCACCGGCUAACUACGUG
rnacentral:rRNA from 1 species